rnacentral:sRNA from 1 species
GCCAGGUGCAGUGGUGUGCGCCUGUAAUCCUAGCAACUCGGAAGACUGAGGCAGGAGGAUGGCAAGUUUGAGGCCAGCCUGGGCAGUUUAGAAAGACCCUGCCUCAA